CCUGGCGGCUUAGAUGGUAAAGAAUCUGCCUGCAAUUCAGAAGACCUGGGUUCGAUCCCUGGGUCAGGA
rnacentral:tRNA from 1 species